rnacentral:lncRNA from 1 species
AUUCUUCCAAGUAAAAUGUUAAAAUUAUUUUGUGAUAGUUCCGAGCAGAAUAAAAUCUAGAGUCAGACAAUGGGGUAUUGGCUUUUACAUCUUCACCGCUCGCAUCGAGCCACCAAGAUCUUGCUGUACAACAAGAUAAGCGACCUUAGCGCCAAGGACUUGCACACAAUACUGCGCUUCAAUGUAAACUUUGACAAGGCCUAUUCUUCAACUUCUUUGUGGGCCUUCUUGUGAGCAGGGACGUGAAAUGGAGGAGUUGUAGCGCGCCAAGUGCAAUGCCCGCACCUGGCGCGACCUGUGCGAGGAGGCAGGCAAAAAGGAUUCUUCGCACAACUCCAUCUCCGUCUAUGCAUUCUUUAACUUUGUUCAAAGCAAAUACGGAUAGCAGCCAUAUGGCAGGAAGCUUGAAAUUGAUGUGCUAGUGACUGGCUCGGCUCCCUCCCGGCUCUUGGUGGCAUCUACCAUCACUAUGCUGAACAAAGUACGGCGCUUCCAGUGAUUGUUUAAUGGGUUUAUAUUUUGGAUUUGUUUCCAAAAGAGCAUUUGC